GUGCUCGCUUUGGCAGUACAUAUACUAAAAUUGGAACGAUACAGAGAAGAUUAGCAUGGCCCCUGCACAAGGAUGACAUGCAAAUUCAUGAAGCAUUCUAUUAAUAA
rnacentral:snRNA from 1 species